GCAAUGGGGGCAACCCUGACCGAGCAACGCCGCGUGAGUGAAGAAGGUUUUCGGAUCGUAAAGCUCUGUUGUAAGAGAAGAACGAGUGUGAGAGUGGAAAGUUCACACUGUGACGGUAACUUACCAGAAAGGGACGGCUAACUACGUGCCAGCAGCCGCGGUAAUACGUAGGUCCCGAGCGUUAUCCGGAUUUAUUGGGCGUAAAGCGAGCGCAGGCGGUUAGAUAAGUCUGAAGUUAAAGGCUGUGGCUUAACCAUAGUACGCUUUGGAAACUGUUUAACUUGAGUGCAGAAGGGGAGAGUGGAAUUCCAUGUGUAGCGGUGAAAUGCGUAGAUAUAUGGAGGAACACCGGUGGCGAAAGCGGCUCUCUGGUUUGUAACUGACGCUGAGGCUCGAAAGCGUGGGGAGCAAACAGGAUUAGAUACCCUGGUAGUCCACGCCGUAAACGAUGAGUGCCUAAGGUGUUGGGGUCCUUUCCGGGGACUCAGUGCCGCAGCUAACGCAUUAAG
rnacentral:rRNA from 1 species